rnacentral:rRNA from 1 species
AUUGAACGCUGGCGGCAUGCCUUACACAUGCAAGUCGAACGGUAACAGGUCUUCGGAUGCUGACGAGUGGCGAACGGGUGAGUAAUACAUCGGAACGUGCCCGAUCGUGGGGGAUAACGGAGCGAAAGCUUUGCUAAUACCGCAUACGAUCUACGGAUGAAAGCAGGGGACCGCAAGGCCUUGCGCGGACGGAGCGGCCGAUGGCAGAUUAGGUAGUUGGUGGGAUAAAAGCUUACCAAGCCGACGAUCUGUAGCUGGUCUGAGAGGACGACCAGCCACACUGGGACUGAGACACGGCCCAGACUCCUACGGGAGGCAGCAGUGGGGAAUUUUGGACAAUGGGCGCAAGCCUGAUCCAGCCAUGCCGCGUGCAGGAUGAAGGCCUUCGGGUUGUAAACUGCUUUUGUACGGAACGAAAAGACUCUGGUUAAUACCUGGGGUCCAUGACGGUACCGUAAGAAUAAGCACCGGCUAACUACGUGCCAGCCGCCGCAGUAAGAC